AUGUAGGACAAUCUCUAUCUCAGUAGGGAUAAAUUACUAUAAAGAAAAUGACCCUAGAAAGUUUUCCCUUCAAGUUAAACAUCUUGU
rnacentral:pre_miRNA from 1 species